AUUGAACGCUGGCGGCAGGCCUAACACAUGCAAGUCGAGCGAGCGGCGGACGGGUGAGUAAUGUCUGGGAAACUGCCUGAUGGAGGGGGAUAACUACUGGAAACGGUAGCUAAUACCGCAUACCAUCAGAUGUGCCCAGAUGGGAUUAGCUAGUGGGGGGGUUAAUGGCUCACCUAGGCAACGAUCCCUAGCUGGGCUGAGAGGAUGACCAGCCACACUGGAACUGAGACACGGUCCAGACUCCUACGGGAGGCAGCAGUGGGGAAUAUUGCACAAUGGGCGCAAGCCUGAGGCAGCCAUGCCGCGUGUGUGAAGAAGGCCUUCGGGUUGUAAAGCACUUUCAGCGGGGAGGCGUUACUCGCAGAAGAAGCACCGGCUAACUCCGUGCCAGCAGCCGCGGUAAUAC
rnacentral:rRNA from 1 species